rnacentral:lncRNA from 1 species
CAGUCUGUCUAGCUGGGUCCCUAGGACCACACGGGUUGGGACUCAGAUCAGUGUCUUGCUUAGCCAUCCUCAGGGAAGCUGCUUCUUGCGGUAGAAGGGAACUACUCAGGGGACCCACAGCUGAGCAGUGACUCUGGAACACUCCAUCCUAAAUGGUGGCGUCUUCAUCGACAUCUUCAGAGACAACAGGAACCACGCACAUCAGAGACGGGCAGCACAGGCCCAAGCAAGAUGGGGUCUCAGCACCGAGGAGGAACUGAACACAGCCUCCCUGCCCACCCAAACACAGGCUUUCCAGCUGAUCCACACUCCCAUGUGAACCUUCUGCUCUGCUCUCCUGCUUACCCAGGAUUUUCUGAACUCCAACAACCUCCCUUGGGUCACUGUUUUCUCUGUUACACUUGUGUAUUAGAGCACACUGGAAUAGAAGCACGGUUGUCCACAGCGUCCUCAGAGCCUUGGCUGAAGCAGGCGUUUCUUCCCACCCCUCCUCCACUUACUGUGCACGUCGUCCUCGGCAUCUGACUCUUCCAGAGAGACCUGAGGUUGGGCUUUCACCUCCAGAUUUCUGCUGAGCCAGCUUGUUUGUUCCAAGGAGGAGCCAGCGAUGGUACCUACAGCUUCCAGGAUUCUCUGAGUGAUUUCCUGGAGAGCCAGCAGAAGCAAGACUUAAUUAAGGAGAAGAAAAGAGCCGGUGCAUACCACUGUCUGACAGGUACAGGGCACGGGCCACCGCGUGAGUCACCGUGGCACCAGUAGACUUUCAAUGAGCCACGCUGAGAGGCGAAAAGCAGCUGGGGUGACAGAUUUUAGUAACAGGUUCUCUACCUACAAAUAUUCCAAUAUAAACAUCAGCAUCACACUCUGCAGCUGUCUCCUACCCUGGCUGGCUUUGGACUCCUGUGGGUACUGCAUGCUUACAACGACCAGGAUCUUCUCUCAGCACGUGGUAUUGUGGCUCUGCUCUCUACCAGCCGACGGGUAAAGUCUGCAGGACUGAUGGGAAAGGCCGGCUUUCUGGUUCUCCUGGAUUGUGGUUCAUGCUGGUAUGAACUAAACACUACAGGACACCACUGUUACUAAGCUGCUGGACUUGAGACUUUACAAAGUUUCGUGGACUGCCAGGCCACACCAACAGUCGGCCGAGUCACUCGUGCUGACUCCGUGUACACUGGCAGGGUGGCGAAGCUCCUUCUGCCUUGAUCCUCACAUAGAAGCAAGACAACAUGGACUAUCCUGCUGCUGCCUGCCUGCCUGCCCUCCGCUCCCGAGAAGCAGAGCCUGGGGGGCAGAUUUAUCCUUUAGUCUUGUUCCCCUCAGCCUGUCUCUGUCUGCAGAACCGGUGGCCUCUGCUGAGCUCACCAGAACACUUACUACUUACUCUCUUUUAUGGGAUGAAGCAUGGCCUUAUUCUAGACUCACAGUAGAGCCAGUCAAGAUCUUUAUAAACAGUGCUGCGUGCUGUUGUGCAUGACUGAAACGCCAACACUUGGUAGGCAGGGAGAGGGAGCGUUCAGCCAGGGCUAUACAGAGAGACUGUAUCUUAAACAAAGAUAUCGUUAAAAUAAAUUGCUGUAGUUU